rnacentral:rRNA from 1 species
UACGGGGGGUGCGAGCGUUGUCCGGAAUCACUGGGCGUAAAGGGCGCGUAGGUGGUUUGAUAAGGGUGUGGUGAAAGUCCGGAGCUCAACUCCGGAUCUGCCGUGCCGACUGUCAAACUCGAGGGCUGUAGAGGCAGACGGAAUUCCGGGUGUAGCGGUGGAAUGCGUAGAGAUCCGGAGGAAGACCGGUGGCGAAGGCGGUCUGCUGGGCAGUAGCUGACACUGAGGCACGAAAGCCAAGGGAGCAAACAGG